rnacentral:rRNA from 1 species
AUUGAACGCUAGCGGGAUGCUUUACACAUGCAAGUCGAACGAGUGGCGGACGGGUGUGUCACAUAUGGGACCGUGCCCAGUAGCGGGGGAUACCUACUCGAAAGAUUGGUUAUUACCGCAUACCAUUGGAGCGGCCGAUAUCGGAUUAGCUAGUUGGUAGGGUAAAGGCUCACCAGGGCAACGAUCCGUAGCUGGUUUGAGGGGACGACCAGCCAAACGGGGACUGAGACACGGCCCAGACUCCGACGGGAGGCAGCAGUGGGGAAUUUUGGACAAUGGGGGAAGCCCUGAUCCGGCCAGCCCGCGUAGAUGAGAAGGCCUUGGGGGUGUAAAGUACUUUUGGAAGAGAAGCGGUAUCUGCAGAAUAAGCACCGGCUAACUACGUGCCAGCAGCCGCGGUAAUUC